UACGAAGGGGGCUAGCGUUGUUCGGAAUUACUGGGCGUAAAGCGCACGUAGGCGGACUUUUAAGUCAGGUGUGAAAUCCCGGGGCUCAACCUCGGAACUGCCUUUGAUACUGGAAGUCUUGAGUAUGGAAGAGGUAAGUGGAAUUGCGAGUGUAGAGGUGAAAUUCGUAGAUAUUCGCAGGAACACCAGUGGCGAAGGCGGCUUACUGGUCCAUUACUGACGCUGAGGUGCGAAAGCGUGGGGAGCAAACAGG
rnacentral:rRNA from 1 species